rnacentral:rRNA from 1 species
AUGGAUUCCCUCGCGACGUCCACGGCCCGGAGAUGGGCGCUCUGCUCCCUCCUCUGCCUCUGCCUCUUCUGCGCCGGCCUCCUCCUCGGCUCCCGCCCCUUCUUCUUCCCCGCGCUGCUGCCGCCGCCGUGGGAGCACUUCUCCAGGCUGCAGCAGCAGCCCGCUCCACGUCCUCAUCUUCCUCCUCCUCCUCAUCAUCAUGCUGCUGCCUACCAUGACCACGACGACUCCACGGCACCAGCGCCGGACGCCGGCCCCGGAGAUCUUGGCAGCGAGGAGGAGAAGCGAGACGAGGAGCCGGCAGCGUCAGCGCCCUCUCCCCUUCGUGCUGCUGCUGCUUACCAUGACCCCGACGACUCAACGGCGCCAGCGCCGGACGCCGGCUCGGGAGAUGUCGGCAGCGAGGAGGAGGAGCAAGACGAGGAGCUGGCAGCGUCGGCGCCCGCGCCCGCUCCGGCAUCGGACGGCGACGGCGACGGAGAGGGAAGGGAGUGCGACCUGUUCGACGGGAGCUGGGUGCGCGACCCGGCGAGGUACCCGCUGUACGAGGCGGCGGAGUGCCCGUUCCUCAGCGACCAGGUCACCUGCCGGAGGAACGGCCGCCCGGACUCCGGCUACGAGCAGUGGCGGUGGCAGCCGAGGGGGUGCGGCGGCGCCGUCGGGAGGCUCGACGGCCACGGGGCGCUGGAGCAGUGCCGGAACAGGCGGCUCGUGUUCGUGGGCGACUCGCUCAACAGGAACAUGUGGGAGUCGCUGGCCUGGAUCCUCUACACGGCGCUGCCCGACCGCUCGCGGGCGCGCGUCCACCACGCCAGCUCCGAGCACAAGAUCUUCCGCGCCAUGGAUUACAAUUGCUCGGUGGAGUUCUUCUGGAGCCCGUUCCUGGUGCAGCUUGAGACCAAGCCGGACCGGACCAAGGUGCUCAAGCUAGACCAGCUCCCAGCCAUGCUUCAGCAGGUGAUCGGGGCAGACGUCCUCGUCUUCAACACCGGCCACUGGUGGACACACACCGGCAAGCUCAGGGCCUGGGAUCACCUGGAGAGAAACGGGAUGCUGGUCAAGAUGGAAGGAGAGGAGGCAUUCAGCAGAGCGCUGAGGACAUGGGCGAGAUGGGUGGAUCACAACGUGGAGCAGACCAGAACCAGAGUCUUCUUCCGAAGCGUCUCGCCUGAACACAAGGGCGCGAACUGGUGCUACAAUCAUUAUGCAACUCCCUUUUGCCGGAGGAACACUUUGUGUGCUACCAAACGUCACAACAUAACUGGGUGA